UAUGCAUACAAAUAUGCUCUUAAAAUUCUUAAAUAUGCACUUAAAAUUAAAAUUUAUUUUUUUAUUUUAUUUUGAUAAUAUAAUUAUUGAGUAUAUUAGUACAGUGUGUACCUAUUGUUUAAUCUGGCGCUCGAAAAAGUUUUUAGAAAUAAUACAUCAGUGUGCUACGAAAUGGAGCUUAACGAAAAAAAUGUAAUUCUAGAGUACUAUUACGUUGUCGAUAUUGUAAUAUCAGGAGGUACAGAGAACGAUGUAGUUAAGGCCAUGGAGAAAUUAAUUAAGUCCAGUCACAGAAUAAACCUUACUAUCAAUGGGGAAAAAACCAAGUACCUACCUAAAAUUAACUCGACAUUUAGUAAAUAAAACAGCAUUAAAAAUGGUUCCUUACUCUUUUGAACAAGUGGAUGAAUUUAAAUACCUUGGAGUCAACAGAUACACACAAAAUAAUAUGCAUAAUGGGAUCCAAUUGAGAAUAAAUAGUUCCAAUAAAGCAUAUUUUGCCAUGUACAAGAUGCUCAGCUCUAGACUACUGCCCAAAGGCACGAAAGAAAAACUGUACUUCUGGGACCAAAAAAAAAUUACUGUGAACUUAUACUCUGUUUUUCCUUUUUAAAUAUUGCACUAAUAACUUUAGUUUAUGAACAACUUUGUACUAAAUUUUCACUCGGUGAACAUUUGGUUUAUUUAACAAAUACUUAUAACAUCAAAAAUGUUCAGCCGAACUGGAUAUGUAAUGAAUCUUUCCGAUUUUAAUUUCUUUCUACUCUCUAGGCGUAAUUGCUAUAGCAUUAGAAUGUUUAGAUCUUUUUUUUCCAAUAAAAUGAUGGUUGCUCGGCGUUCUGAUUAGGCAAUUUGGGUACAUCAACGUCACCAAGUACACCUUUCUGCAAUCAUUAUGGUAGAUAUUUAAAUAUUACGAAAAUGUAUGCAGUGUCUAAUCCAGUAAUGGGUGCACCACAGACCACAGUGCCGUAGCCCGUAGCUAGAAUUAGGUGGGCCACAGAUCUUUAUUCUUAAGACUCUCUAGGUAGGCCCAGUGCAAAUUUAUCUAUGGGGUCAUUAUUUCCCGUUUAUAUUUAAUUUAAACUAUUAUAAAAAAAACCAAUACAUAAUAGAUAUCAAUAUAUGAUUUUAAUACGAAAAUUUUUUUUCUAGCUUUGGUAUUAGCAAAAUUGUCAAUUAUUUUUUCAAUACCUUGUUAAUUCGUUUCUUUCUAUAUUGAGAAUAGCAUUAUCAAUAAGUCUAUUUUGAGACCUGCAGAGUUUCUUAAAUAAUUUUGAAUGAGUUUUAGUUUUGAAAAUUACCUCUUAGCAGUUAGCUGAGGGCCUGAGGCACAAAUCACCGAAAUUGUAAGAAAUAUUAAAGCAGUCAAAACGUCAGGAGAACUUCAAGCCAAGUCAUUUUGAAUAGUCAGAUGCAGUGAUGCAUACGAUACGGUCAAUCAUAGGUUACUGCUCAAGAAAAUCUAUGAGCUAACUGAAGACGCAAAAUUUACAACAAUUAUUAAUCAUUUAUUAAGGAAUAGACAGAUUUUGUAUCACUAUUCACUGCAGAACAAAAAGAGCAGAUAGAAAAGAAAAAAUGAUGCAUUAUCUCAAGGAAGCGUUUUAGCACCAAUUUUAUUUAAUAUAUAUAAGUACUUAAUGAUCAACCAAUUGGGGACCAAACGAAGCACUUUAUUAACGCUGACGGCCUCGCUAUUACAACCCAGGGCAAAAUAUUCGAGAAGGUGGAAGUGAAUCUGAACGUCGCGCUUAAUACUAUGAAGGAAUACUAUACUGAUAAUCAUACAAAUUACCAACACAGAUUACCACUUUCCACUAACAAAACAGAGACACUAAGCGGAAACGCCGUAAACUGAGAAAUAAUUGACAAGACACACAUAUUAGAACACUGCGACGAACCAAAAUACUUAGGUAUUAAACUUGAUCGAGCCCUGACAUAUAGAAGUCAUUGUGAAAACACAAAAAAUAAAAUAGUAACAAGAAACUGCUUACUUCAAAAACUGGUUUGCUCUCAAAGGGGCGCAGACCCUCAUGUCUUUAGAACGACAGCCUUAUCAUUAUGUUACUCGACUAGUGAAUAUGCUUGUGCUGCAUGGAAAAACUCAGCAUAUGCCAAAAGGUAGAUGUGGCCCUAAAUGUAACUAACAGAUUAAUUACGGGAUGCCUAAGACCAACCCCAGUUCAGAAAGUACAAUUAUGUGGUAUAGAACCUCCUAACAUAAGGCUAGAGGAGGCAGUAAGAGUAGAGAAAACAAACAAGAAUUAGACAAGACAUUCUUUAUAUGGAUGUUAACUCUUUUACACCACUUGAUAUCAAACGUGCCAGUAUACGGCAGUGCUUAUAUGGGACGAUCGUCCAGUCAGAGGAUCCACCAAGAGUGUUCCAGAAUAGUAUUUAUGAUUAAAGCAAAAACUUGGACGAGUGCCCAAAACAUUAUGCACAAUUGUAUUCAGGAGUGUUUUACUUGGAGUGGCUCAAACACUACCAUAAUUAUAUAGGUACUACUACAUUUAUUAAUUUUUUUUUUCUUAGAUUUGCCUCAAUCACAUUAUUUUAAUUAUUCAUACAUCAUAAAAUAUUCAGUCUUCUUCUAUUUGUUUGGAGAGCUUACCUAUAACAGUGAUUGAGUCUAACAUUUCAUUAUUUAGUUCAAUAAGUUUUUUUUAAUUAACAUAAUAGCUGAACCCAAUAAUAUUGUGGGUAUUAAUGAAUCUUUUGUACAAAAAAAUCAUCUUUAAUAUUUUACACCUAUACAAUUUAAAUUAUGUGUAUUUUAAUAGUUCUCAAGAAUUUUUAUAAACAAUGUAGUACACCAACAUUAACCACAUAAAACAUAUAGUAGACUAAUUAUAGAAAACAACUUAAUAUCUACGAAAUUGUUUUUUGAAUCUUUCAUAGUGGAAAU